CACGUAGGGAGCAAGCGUUGUCCGGAUUUAUUGGGCGUAAAGAGCUCGUAGGUGGUUCGGUAAGUCAGGUGUGAAACCUCCAGGCUCAACCUGGAGACGCCACUUGAUACUGCUGUGACUGGAGUCCGGUAGGGGAGCGUGGAAUUCCUGGUGUAGCGGUGAAAUGCGCAGAUAUCAGGAGGAACACCAGCGGCGAAGGCGGCGCUCUGGGCCGGUACCGACACUGAGGAGCGAAAGCGUGGGUAGCAAACAGG
rnacentral:rRNA from 1 species